CAGCAGCCGCGGGAAUACGAAGGGGGCUAGCGUUGUUCGGAUUUACUGGGCGUAAAGCGCACGUAGGCGGACUUUUAAGUCAGGGGUGAAAUCCCGGGGCUCAACCCCGGAACUGCCUUUGAUACUGGAAGUCUUGAGUAUGGUAGAGGUGAGUGGAAUUCCGAGUGUAGAGGUGAAAUUCGUAGAUAUUCGGAGGAACACCAGUGGCGAAGGCGGCUCACUGGACCAUUACUGACGCUGAGGUGCGAAAGCGUGGGGAGCAAACAGGAUUAGAGACCCCCGUAGUCCCUGUCUCUUAUAC
rnacentral:rRNA from 1 species